rnacentral:lncRNA from 1 species
AUGGAGAAGAGAAGGAGACAAUUGUGGGACAGGAUAAGAUGGUGGGUUAAAGCAGAGGUGCGUAAUAAAGAAGAAGGAGAAGAAGAAGAAGAAGAUGGGGUGGAAGAGAAUGGUGAGGACGCUGACAGCAAGGAAGAAGAUGUGAAUGAGGAAGAAAAUGAAGCAGGAGGAAAUGAAGAUGAAGAGGAAGCGCAGGCAAAACUGGAGGUAAGGGAUGCAGAGGAAACUGAAGAGGAUAAAGGAGAAAGUGAUUCAGAAACAGGGCUUCUAAUGAAACAGGGAGAUGAGGAGGAGGAGAGGGAGACAGCUGAAGUAGAUGAAGUGGUGGAAGAAGAGAAAGAAGUAGAAAAUAACAGCGAGAUUAACCAUAGUAACGAGGUGGAUGAGACCAAGGAGAAUCAAGCAAAGAAAGCAGAGGACAUUGGAAAAGGGGAGGAAGUGGAGAGGGGCAUUAAAGAGGAAGAUAAGGAAGAAACAAAGGGAAAGGAGAAUGAGGAGGAAGAAAGGGACCGGGAGACUAUGAAGAAGGAGAAAGAAACCAAGGAACAGAAGCUUAAAGAGGAACGGGAUGAGAAUGGGGAUCUUCAGGAAGAGGAACAGCAUGAAAGAUACAACAUGGAAGAACAUUUCAGAGAAGAGAAUGCUCAAAUAAUCCAAAAGAGUACUGCAAGAAGGAAAAAGGAUGAAAAACUCACAGAGGAAGACCCCAUUAGAGAUUCAGUGGACUCAAUAAUGAAUGAAGAUUCUGAUUUCACAGUUUCUGAGGAUAAAUAUUUUAACAAACACAGAAAUGAAGAUAUCGUCUCUGAAACUCAGACUACUCUGGAGUGGAAUGAAGAAUUCAACAGUGAAAAAUUGACAGAUGAAGAAGUAACUGUCACAGAAUCGUGGGUCACUCAAGAAGAUCAUGAAGAAGAAGAGGAAGCUUCUACAGAUGAUGAAGAAACAGACCAUUCGGUGGAUGAAGAUGGGGAGUUUAGUGAUGAAGAUGACAUAAAGACAUAUUUCAAAGAUGAUUACCCCAUACAUGUUUUUCUCACCUUGAAUGAAUUCAGGAGUUCAUUCAUUCUCACUGACCUUACUUUGAGGACAGAGGAUGGGACGAGUUUUUGUGUGCACUCCCCCGUGUUGGCUGCUACCAGCUCACUUAUCUGCGAUAAUCUAAAAAGAAGCAAAGCAGAAAACAAAAGAGCUGAUGAAAGAAAAGAUGAUGACACAUGUGUUGGAGUUCAACGAUGGUCAAUCUCUCUUGGUCCGGAGGUAGAACAUGUUGGGUUAGAGGCGAUUGUGGAGUUUGCCUACACUGGACAAAUACCAUUCUUAAACAAGGAUAAUCUGGAUAAAAUAAAGGCUGCUGCUCAAACACUGGGUGCACCAAGGGUUCUCAAUCUCUGCACUGAGGAAGAAGAGAAGUCCACAAAAACUGGAGGGCAUGAGAAAAGCGAAAGUAUUUCUACUGCACAGCAAAUGAUGAUCAGCCUUCAGUCCAUCAAACAGCUGUGGAUGGACAGAGUGGGAUGUGAUGUGACUCUGGAAGCUUGUGGUGGAUUGCUUCAUGGUGAGUAG